AUACGGAGGAUGCGAGCGUUAUCCGGAUUUAUUGGGUUUAAAGGGUGCGUAGGCUGUGCGUUAAGUCAGGGGUGAAAUGCCGUCGCUCAACGACGGAGCUGCCCUUGAUACUGGCGUGCUGGAGUACGGAUGCCGUUGGAGGAAUGAGUGGUGUAGCGGUGAAAUGCUUAGAUAUAACUCAGAACACCGAUUGCGAAGGCAUCUGACGAAUCCGUCACUGACGCUGAGGCACGAAAGCGUGGGGAUAGAACAGGAUUAGAUACCCUGGUAUUCCACGCCGUAAACGAUGAUGACUAACCGUCGGCGAUAGACAGCCGGUGGCCAAGCGAAAGCGAUAAGUCAUCCACCUGGGGAGUACGUCGGCAA
rnacentral:rRNA from 1 species